rnacentral:rRNA from 1 species
CCUACGGGUGGCUGCAGUAAGGAAUAUUGGUCAAUGGACGAAAGUCUGAACCAGCCAUCCCGCGUGCAGGAUGAAAGCCCUAUGGGUUGUAAACUGCUUUUAGCAGAGAAGAAAAGCUUCCAUUUAUGGGGGUCUGACGGUAUCUGCAGAAUAAGCACCGGCUAACUCCGUGCCAGCAGCCGCGGUAAUACGGAGGGUGCGAGCGUUAUCCGGAAUUACUGGGUUUAAGGGGUGCGUAGGCGGAGUAUGAGAAAUCUUGUCGCUUAACGAUAAAAUUGCCAAUGAUACUGGUACUCUUGAAUUGGGUUGAGGUUAGCGGAAUGUGACAUGUAGCGGUGAAAUGCAUAGAUAUGUCAUGGAACACCGAUUGCGAAGGCAGCUGACUGGACCUAUAUUGACGCUGAGGCACGAAAGCGUGGGGAGCGAACAGGAUUAGAUACCCUUGUAGUC